rnacentral:rRNA from 1 species
UACGUAGGGUGCAAGCGUUGUCCGGAAUUAUUGGGCGUAAAGAGCUCGUAGGCGGUCUGUCGCGUCGGCUGUGAAAACUCGGGGCUCAACCCCGAGCCUGCAGUCGAUACGGGCAGACUAGAGUGCUGUAGGGGAGACUGGAAUUCCUGGUGUAGCGGUGAAAUGCGCAGAUAUCAGGAGGAACACCGGUGGCGAAGGCGGGUCUCUGGGCAGUAACUGACGCUGAGGAGCGAAAGCGCGGGGAGCGAACAGG